rnacentral:rRNA from 1 species
UACGUAGGGGGCUAGCGUUGUCCGGAAUCAUUGGGCGUAAAGAGCGUGUAGGCGGCCCGGUAAGUCCGCUGUGAAAGUCGGGGGCUCAACCCUCGGAUGCCGGUGGAGUACUGUCGGGCUCGAGUACGGAAGAGGCGAGUGGAAUUCCUGGUGUAGCGGUGAAAUGCGCAGAUAUCAGGAGGAACACCUAUUGCGAAGGCAGCUCGCUGGGACGUUACUGACGCUGAGACGCGAAAGCGUGGGGAGCAAACAGG